rnacentral:rRNA from 1 species
AGAGUUUGAUCCUGGCUCAGAACGAACGCUGGCGGCAGGCUUCAUACAUGCAAGUCGAGCGGAAAGGCCCCUUCGGGGGUACUCGAGCGGCGAACGGGUGAGUAACAGGUGGGUAAUCUGCCUUUCGGAGGGGGAUAACGGCUGGAAACGGCCGCUAAUACCCCGUACGGUUGUGAAGCUCUCGGGCUUUGCAAAGAAAGGGGCCUUUAAAGCCCCGCCGAAAGAUGAGCCCGCCCCCCAUUAGCUAGUUGGCGGGGUAAUGGCCCACCAAGGCUGUGAUGGGUAGCCGAGCUGAGAGGUUGAUCGGCCACACUGGAACUGAGACACGGUCCAGACACCUACGGGUGGCAGCAGUAGGGAAUAUUGCGCAAUGGGCGAAAGCCUGACGCAGCCAUGCCGCGUGGAUGAUGAAGGCCUUCGGGUCGUAAAGUCCUUUUCUGAGGGAAGAACUGCCGGGGGAGGAAAUGCCCUUGGCUUGACGGUACCUCAGGAAUAAGCAACGGCUAACUCCGUGCCAGCAGCCGCGGUAAUACGGAGGUUGCAAGCGUUGUUCGGAAUGACUGGGCGUAAAGGGAGCGCAGGCGGCCAAGUCAGUCUGAAGUGAAAGCCCGGGGCUUAACCCCGGAAUAGCUUUGGAUACUGCCUGGCUUGAGUGUGCGAUAGGAAAGCGGAAUUCCAGGUGUAGCGGUGAAAUGCGUAGAUAUCUGGAGGAACACCGGUGGCGAAAGCGGCUUUCUGGCGCAUAACUGACGCUGAGGCUCGAAAGCGUGGGGAGCGAACGGGAUUAGAUACCCCGGUAGUCCACGCCGUAAACGUUGUGCACUAGGUGUGGGAGGUAUCGACCCCUUCCGUGCCGAAGCUAACGCAUUAAGUGCACCGCCUGGGGAGUACGGUCGCAAGACUGAAACUCAAAGGAAUUGACGGGGGCCCGCACAAGCGGUGG